rnacentral:rRNA from 1 species
UACGAAGGGUGCAAGCGUUACUCGGAAUUACUGGGCGUAAAGCGUGCGUAGGUGGUUUGUUAAGUCUGUUGUGAAAGCCCCGGGCUCAACCUGGGAAUGGCAAUGGAUACUGGCAGGCUAGAGUGCGGUAGAGGGUAGUGGGAUUCCCGGUGUAGCGGUGAAAUGCGUAGAGAUCGGGAGGAACACCAGUGGCGAAGGCGGCUACCUGGACCAGCACUGACACUGAGGCACGAAAGCGUGGGGAGCAAACAGG